GCUCAUCGUGUGCCAAGUCCUUUGUUAAGUUCCAGGAUAGGAAUGUGUGGGAGACAGCCCUGUCUGGCAGGCGAUUAUAAACAAAUUAGCUUCAACCUAGCAAGGGUGCCAGCAGAGGAAUACAAUAUGGGUACAGGGAGAGCCCCAGAGAGCCUGGCUUGAUGACUUUCUCAAUCCAAACAAUUGUGUUUACAGAAAAUCCUCAUCUGAAACCAGGGUCCUGGCUGACCUUUGAACGUGACCUUCAGGGGAUGGUGGACGUCAUAAUCAUCCAGGAUACAAGAAAUGCACCAUCCUCCACUGAGACACUGGCUCUGCACGGGCAUUUGCUGAGGGCUAUCAACUCCUGGACAAAUGCAGGCAUUUUUUCAGUUGACAUCUAGAAGCUCUGGUUCUCUACCUUGCCGUCUACUGUCUUAUCCAGUGGUCACCUCUAUUCAAAUCCAGAACUGGUCUGCAAAGGUGCCAGCUAUCAAGCACAUCCAUCCACAUAGAGCUCUGCAGGGCCACACUGUGCCCCACUAAGGCCGGAAGGAAUCCCGCACACUUCCGGUCCCGUGUCCUUGGCCAGGACAGCACCAUCUCCUGUCGUCACAAGGGAGAGAAGGACGAGAGAGUGCAAGCAUAGAGAUGGCCCGGGUCUGACGCUCAGGACGUGAUAGUCAUCAAGUCACCUAGGCUGAGUGGAAGCCGUGAACAGGAAGUAAUGGACCUGAAUGUUGUUUUUUUUACUUGUUUAGAAUUUGUAUGUUUAUAGGUGAUGC